rnacentral:snRNA from 1 species
UCCCAAGGCUCGCUUCGGCG